UACGGGGGGGGCAGGCGUUGUUCGGAAUUAUUGGGCGUAAAGGGUUCGUAGGUGGCCGGCUAAGUCAGACGUGAAAUCCCUCAGCUUAACUGGGGAACUGCGUCUGAAACUGAUCGGCUUGAGUGCAGGAGAGGAACGCGGAAUUCCAGGUGUAGCGGUGAAAUGCGUAGAUAUCUGGAGGAACACCGGUGGCGAAGGCGGCGUUCUGGACUGCAACUGACACUGAGGAACGAAAGCCAGGGGAGCAAACGGG
rnacentral:rRNA from 1 species